GUUGAAAAGUAAUGGGGGUCAGUAUAGGAAUUCAGUGCGAAUCUACAUUGUUUGUAAACAAGGCCAUGUGAAUGCCCAAAAAUGCCGCAUGACCCUAUGUUUUUAUUGUUGCAAAAGAUAGGGCUACAUUUGUACUUUCAUGAAUGAUAUAUGAAAGUUUCUAAUUUCUAAAGGUAAAUCAGGUAUAAAUUUAUUUCCAUACAUAGAUUAGCAUUAAAGUCAAUGGGAGACUUUUA
rnacentral:lncRNA from 1 species